UGGGAAUUCGAUCGGGAAUCGCCGGCUCCUGCUCCGGGAACCAACCGGGAACCGCUCCCGGAUUUCGGGAACCGGGAACCGACCCUCCGGGAACCGGGAACCCACCCCGGGACCCCACCGGGAACCGGGAACCGACCCACCGGGAACCGGGACCCCACCGGGAACGCCAGGAACUUACCGGGAACCGCUCUUGGACCCCGGGAACCGGGAAACCGACUCACCGGGAACCGGGAACCCCCCCGGGGAACCCACCGGGAACCGCUCCCGGACCUCGGGAACCGACCCACCGGGACCCCACCGGGAACGCCAGGAACCGCUCCCGGACCUCGGGACCCGGGAACCCACCCCGGGACCCCACCGGGAACUCUAGGAAUUCACUGGGAACUGCUCCCGGACCCCCCCCACCGGGAAACAGGGAAUCGAGCUCGGGAACCGGGCACCGGGAUCCGCCCCGGGACCGACCCCACCGGGAACUGGGAUCUGACCCCCGGGGCACCCACUUUCACCCGGGACACCGGGACUUGACUUGGGACCCCCACCCGGGAACCCCAUUGAGGACCUUGGGACCCCCCUUGAGGACCCCAGGACGCACCCAGGACCCCAGGACCCUCCUUGAGGACCCCAGGACCCCCCCAGGACCCCCUUGAGGACCCCAGGACCCACCCGGGACCCCCUUGAGGAGCCCAGGACCCCCUUGAGGAGCUCAGCACCCACCAGGACCCUCCUUGAGGACCCCAGGACCCCCCCAGGACCCCCUUGAGGACCCCAGGACCCACCCGGGACCCCCUUGAGGAGCCCAGGACCCCCUUGAGGAGCUCAGCACCCACCAGGACCCUCCUUGAGGACCCCAGGACCCC
rnacentral:lncRNA from 1 species